rnacentral:rRNA from 1 species
CUACGGGGGGCAGCAGUGGGGAAUAUUGCACAAUGGGGGGAACCCUGAUGCAGCAACGCCGCGUGGAGGAUGACACAUUUCGGUGCGUAAACUCCUUUUAUAUAAGAAGAUAAUGACGGUAUUAUAUGAAUAAGCACCGGCUAACUCCGUGCCAGCAGCCGCGGUAAUACGGGGGGUGCAAGCGUUACUCGGAAUCACUGGGCGUAAAGAGCAUGUAGGCUGGUUUGUAAGUUGGAAGUGAAAUCCUAUGGCUUAACCAUAGAACUGCUUCCAAAACUACUUACCUAGAGUAUGGGAGAGGUAGAUGGAAUUUCUGGUGUAGGGGUAAAAUCCGUAGAGAUCAGAAGGAAUACCGAUUGCGAAGGCGAUCUACUGGAACAUUACUGACGCUCAGAUGCGAAAGCGUGGGGAGCAAACAGGAUUAGAUACCCCGGUAGUC